rnacentral:tRNA from 1 species
AAUCCUACCCUACUCUGUCACUCGUACUUGGCAUACUCAAUUAGCAGUAUUCUGGAUUGCCACUGCUUGGCUAGGCACAGGAUUAUA